ensembl:lncRNA
AACUUGUCCAACCUUAUUAGUUAAAAGAAGCUACUCAACAAAGAACAAAGUCCAGUCUCUGUGAAGGCAGCAGAAAUCUUGCAUCAUUUUCUAUUGACUGCAGCACAGUUACAAAAGAUUUCCAUUUGCAGAAUUAAGUUCAAUUUUGGGCCUACGUGACAAGCCACAUUUUAAUGACACCUUUCCUCAGGUAUGGCUCAAGCUUGUAUGUGGGCUCUAGAUUGGAAGAAUAAAUUCUGGGGACAUUUGAGACUUUUUUAGAUGCUGGUGAGAUAGUCAACCCUCGUGAAUGAAAAAGUUCUGGGGAGAGCCUUUGGACAUUGCUUUCAGGAAGAUUGAUUCUGAUCAUCUUAUCAGCCAAGGCAUAUGACGAGGGAGAGUGCUGGGAGCAGGCAGGCCGUUUCCACCACCGUGACACAGAAACAAACGGCAGAUUAUCUGCUGGGUACAAAAGAGUUCAACAUGUUCAGCCACCAUCUGCCCAGCUGCAAAUUCAGCAGGAAAGAAGCACAGGUGAAGUUGAGAGGAGACUCUUGGUCAGAGGACCACGGAGUAUCCUGAGUUGGAAGGGAUCCACAAGGAUCAUUGAGGUCUACAAAGAGGCUUCAAAUGACUUCUGUUGUUCCAUAGGAAGCUGAAGGGUGUUGUUUAUAGAGAAGCUGGAUAUCAAAAUUUUGCUCUGUGGUGCCUGUUGCCAUUGAGAUUGGAGGAAGUCUGGACAAUGUUCAGCCUUGCAUGGGCAUGUGGCUGUGAAUUAAAGGAAACAACAAAUAUCUGUGAAUCAUUCCCCAUGCUCCAGGAUUUUUUCUAAAAUCCUCCAAGAAGAGCUGUAGAGAGUUUAAAAAAAAAAAUGCCAGUAUAUUUCCAGCACUCUAAAUCAUUCUGAGACAUAAUAUGAAAACAACCAAUGGUAUAAUAUUCAAUGGGAGGGGUUGCUGUGGGGUACUGAUGAAGAUCAAAUAAGAUGAAAGAAAUCUCCUUCAUGUAUGAGAUACAGAACAGGUAGAAGUCAGAAAGUUUUGAUUUGUUUUGUUGAAUUGGGAGAUUAAAGAUCUAUUAAGAUCUGUUAUAGAGAAUAGAGAUCUGUAAAGAUCUAUAAAGAUCUAUUAAGAUCUUUGCCUGUUUAAAACAAACAAACAAAUAACAACAACAACAACAAAAAAAACAAGAAAAAUGAAAAUGAUUGGCAUUACAGAGAGGUGAGAUACACAGGAUUCCUUUCUUUGCCUUGUCUUUUUUCUUCUUUUCCUUUUCCUUUUCCUUUUCCUUUUCCUUUUCCUUUUCCUUUUCCUUUUCCUUUUUUCUCUUCCUCUUCCUUUUCCUUUUCCUUUUUUCUCUUCCUCUUCCUCUUUCUUUCUCUUCAUCUUCCUCUUUUUCUUUUUUCUUUUCCUUUUUCCUCUUUUCUCUUCUUUUUCUUCUUCAUUUUUCCUUCUGUCUUCCACUUCUCUCUCUCUCUCUCUCUUUCUCUCGCUCUCUGUCUCUCUCUCUCUUUUUUUUUUUUUUUUCCCCAGCACUGGACAGC